rnacentral:rRNA from 1 species
AAACUUUCAACAACGGAUCUCUUGGUUCCAGCAUCGAUGAAGAACGCAGCGAAAUGCGAUAAGUAAUGUGAAUUGCAGAAUUCAGUGAAUCAUCGAAUCUUUGAACGCACAUUGCGCCCUCUGGUAUUCCGGGGGGCAUGCCUGUUCGAGCGUCAUUACACCCCUCACGCCUAGCGUGGUAUUGGACUCGCCCGCAGCGGCUUGUCUUAAAGUCAGUGGCGGCUUCGUAGAACCCCUAAG